CAGUCGCCACGGUAAUACGUAGGUGGCAAGCGUUGUCCGGAAUUAUUGGGCGUAAAGGGCUCGCAGGCGGUUUUUUAAGUCUGAUGUGAAAGCCCCCGGCCCAACCGGGGAGGGUCAUUGGAAACUGGGAAACUUGAGUGCAGAAGAGGAGAGUGGAAUUCCACGUGUAGCGGUGAAAUGCGUAGAGAUGUGGAGGAACACCAAUGGCGAAGGCGACUCUCUGGUCUGUAACUGACGCUGAGGAGCGAAAGCGUGGGGAGCGAACAGGAUUAGAUACCCCGGUAGUCCCUGUCUCUUAUAC
rnacentral:rRNA from 1 species